CUCACCCCCUUACUCCCCACACCUCACCCCCACAGGGACACAGUUAGUUCACAGUUCAACCCUACACUUUUCGACGGCCAUAAAAUGCCAGUGAUGUGCCACCACGAGACUAGUUGGGUGGUUUUGUGGUCUUCAACCGGUAGCACCGCCACAUCUUGUGUUUCUGUAUGAAGUGACUGACGAAAACACGUUCCCCACAAGAUAUGGUACUGUGCAAAACACGUUCUACAUCUCCCUAUGGAGACGUGCAUCAGGGCCUUCUCAAUUCAUCACAAUGAAUAAGUGUGGGGACCUGAUCCUAGUUCAGCCACUAUGGGCUCAGAUCAGUUCUAGGAUCUGUCUUCGGUCCCGCUUAAAAUGACGUUCAGCUUAUAAAGGCAUUAUAAAUCCUUCAUAAAGCUUUCAUAAACACUACAUAAAUGUGUUACAAAUCUUUGAUAACCGUAUGUCAUACUUUAUAAUGGGUUCAUAAAUGUGGCAUAACUGUGUGACAUACAGUAACCACUAAUGUCAAAUGUGACAUAACCCAUUAUGUCAAAUAGGACAUAAACCUAUGGUUUAUAAAGAGUGGCAUAAGCACUGCUUAAUAAAUGCCUUGUAAAUCAUAUUAAAUUGAGGCUGUCAUGCAUCUUGGUACAGCAUUGCAACACCAGGAUAUUGGGUUUGAUUCCCGCGACCACCCAUAUGUAAAAUAUUUAUUCACUCAGGACUCUAACUCGCUUUGGAUAAAAGUGUCUGCUUAAUUGUAUAUAUUAUAUUAUAUUUCACUAAUUUCUUAGAUGGCUCAACCUCUUUCCCUCUUGGGUGCAUAGUUAAUAUUGGACCUGACCUAAACUGUGUUUCAGGAUGACACAUUCUAAAAUGCAGUCAUGCAGAGCAAAAAACGUUGGUAGAGCCUUUUAAAAUCUGAUUAGAAAAAGUGCAUACUUCAGUAUUUUUUUUAAUACUUUUUCUUAGUUUUCUUUUUCCAGGUUUCGGAUUUCCCCCAUUUUUUUCUUGUUUAGCCCAUUUUUUCACACUUUUUUAAUAGAAAAAAAACUAAAUGUGAUUUUCUUUGUUCAAGACAAUGCUUUAAAAAAUCAGGGGAUGACUUUUGAGGUCUGGGAUAAAUUUAAGAAACUUCUUUUUUUGAGUGUAGUUACCCUUUAAUUCAGUGAGCAUGCCCUGGACUGAAGCGCACGUGAUGUGAUUCGGCCGCCAAUGGAAUGGGUGGAGUAAAAAGCCAGCAACACUGUAUUAUUCAGAGCCCCAUGAAAUGACACCAUAUACAUUCUACAGACCCUACUGAGUACUCCCUACAAUACUUUCUUGCUCUAAGCCAAAAUGUAAUCCAUAUACAUUGACUCACAUUGGGGCCAUUUAUUUGACACUGGAACAUGAUUUAAAACCCACAUUUUAUGCAAAUGUCACUUAAAUAUGAACAAAUAUGAAUCACUGUUAAUGUUUAGAAAAUUAUUUUUAAUAUAUCAUGAAUGGUUAUUGUUGGCACUUUUCAACUAUUAAGUGGGGCACUUUUAUUUUGAAGAAAGAAAAAAAAACUGUGACCCGAAGUACUUUUUUAGUUUUGCUGACAAGAUGCUGAUCAUGUGAUGAGUUUGAAAACCAAAUGCCCACUUGUGCUGCCACUGGACAGCAAAAAACAAGUUGGAACCAACAUGCAGUACCUCCAGCAGGAAGAGAGGCAAGAACCAUUUGUCCUCCAGCUCAGGGACAAGCUAUACUGUUCACAGCCCUGUAUAAUGUUCAAUGUAAUUGCAUUGCUGGACUUUUUGACACUUAAUGUAUAUGUAUUGUUUUAAAAAAGUACAAAUAAAGGAAGAAAAAAAACAUG